AGACAUUCGCUCUCAAUCAGCCAAGGACCAACGGAGGUGCUGGAAGGAAACCGUGAAGUGUUACCAAGAACCGGUCACGGACAUCGCUCUUAGCCAGGUAAGGGUCAGUGAAAGUGUUCUAGGGCCGUGGCGAGAAGGCAGAGCGAAAAACCAAGUCCUUGUCUUCCAUAUUUGUAGCCAAGGAUCAUUAGGGAUAUAAGGAUGUGACGAGGAAACGGAGAGGAUGUGUGGGUGUGGCUGCCUUUAUUGGUGUUGACGAGCGGUUGGUGUGGUGAUGCUUCCCUAACUCGUGUGCAGUUUGAUGACUGUUACGAUUUGGGUAAUUUAGACGUGUAAGAAGUCACAAGGUAACGAGUGGUACUUUUACGAGAUUGUUCGUAUUCUGGGUUUCCUGUAUUGAGCGGAGUGUAUAGUCUGGGUUUCAUCUAAAGAGGGCGAAGUGGAGCAUCUGAGGAACACCGCAGCUUCAGGAUAACGAGGAUACGAGAUUGAGACUUCUGUUUCUGUCGAUCUCCGUCCGUGGACCAGCGUUCUGGCAUCGCUGCAGUCAUCCCUUCUCGUCUUCUGUAACCACUGGCUCUCCAUUCCCUAGCGUGGAUGGGUUACUUUUUGAACCAAGCCUCGUGGGCUAGCCGUGGUGCUGGUUAAUGAGCUAAUUGUUCCUCAAGAGUUCGAGAGACUCUCCCAAUAUUAAAGUUUUUGGGUUUUUUUUUUUAUUUAUUUUUUUUUUCCAGUGGUGACUCGGUGCUGUUUCUCGGGUGACCCUUCGAGGUAUCAAUAAAAACGCAAUUUGAAUAAAACGCAAACUAUA